AUUGAACGCUGGCGGCAGGCCUAACACAUGCAAGUCGAACGAGUGGCGUACGGGUGAGUAAUGUCUGGGCAACUGCCUGAUGGAUGGGGUUAACUACUGGAAACUGUUGCUACUACCGCAUUCAAUACGCUGGGCCCAGAUGGGAUUAGCUUGGUGGUGGGGUAACGGCUCACCAAGGUCACGAUCCCUAGCUGGUCUGAGAGGAUGACCAGACACACUGGAACUGAGACACGGUCCAGACGCCUACGGGAGGCAGCAGUGGGGAAUAUUGCACAAUGGGCGAAAGCCUGAUGCAGCCAUGCCGCGUGUAUGAAGAAGGCCUUCGGGUUGUAAAGUACUUUAAGCUGGGAGGCGUUACCCGCAGAAGAAGCACCGGCUAACUCCGUGCCAGCAGCCGCGGUAAUUC
rnacentral:rRNA from 1 species